GACGAACGCUGGCGGCGUGCCUAAUACAUGCAAGUCGAACGCUGAAGGAGGAGCUUGCUUCUCUGGAUGAGUUGCGAACGGGUGAGUAACGCGUAGGUAACCUGCCUGGUAGCGGGGGAUAACUAUUGGAAACGAUAGCUAAUACCGCAUAAUAGUAGAUGUUGCAUGACAUUUGCUUAAAAGGUGCACUUGCAUCACUACCAGAUGGACCUGCGUUGUAUUAGCUAGUUGGUGGGGUAACGGCUCACCAAGGCGACGAUACAUAGCCGAACUGAGAGGGGGAUCGGCCACACUGGGACUGAGACACGGCCCAGACGUCUACGGGAGGCAGCAGUAGGGAAUCUUCGGCAAGGGACGGAAGUCUGACCGAGAAACGCCGCGGGAGUGAAGAAGGUUGUCGGAUCGGAAAGCUCUGUUGUAAGAGAAGAAAGAGUGUGAGAGUGGAAAGUUCACACUGUGACGGUAGCUGAACAGAAAGGGACGGCUAACUACGUG
rnacentral:rRNA from 1 species